rnacentral:rRNA from 1 species
AUUGAACGCUGGCGGCAGGCUUAACACAUGCAAGUCGAGCGGGGUGAUGGUGCUUGCACUAUCACUUAGCGGCGGACGGGUGAGUAAUGCUUAGGAAUCUGCCUAUUAGUGGGGGACAACAUCGCGAAAGGGAUGCUAAUACCGCAUACGUCCUACGGGAGAAAGCAGGGGAUCACUAGUGACCUUGCGCUAAUAGAUGAGCCUAAGUCGGAUUAGCGAGGUGGGGGGGUAAAGGCCUACCAAGGCGACGAUCUGUAGCGGGUCUGAGAGGAUGAUCCGCCACACUGGGACUGAGACACGGCCCAGACUCCUACGGGAGGCAGCAGUGGGGAAUAUUGGACAAUGGGGGGAACCCUGAUCCAGCCAUGCCGCGUGUGUGAAGAAGGCCUUAUGGUUGUAAAGCACUUUAAGCGAGGAGGAGGCUCUUUUGGUUAAUACCCAAGAUGAGUGGACGUUACUCGCAGAAUAAGCACCGGCUAACUCUGUGCCAGCCGCCGCGGUAA